UCCCAACCUGAAGGUUGAGGCCUCGAUCCUGAGUCCCUGAGACCAUACUCAAGUGUCCUUGACCAUAUUACCGAACUUGCAUCAUCUCAUCAAGGGUUGAAGGAGGAGACUAUGUUAAAGCACACUGAGUGCUUUGAAGUUAGAAAAGUGCUAUACAAGUAAAAUCCAUUUACAAUUAUCUAAAAGAGAAAACAUUCAUUCUCUUUCGGGGUUGGAGAUGAGCUGGAAUCUAUACCUGCAGACUUUAACCGAGAGCUAGAUCAACUGAAAGCAACUAUGGGAGGAGAAAAAAACAAGCAAAAACAUGUGUAUUUUUGUGAGAGAGCAAUUACAAGAAGAGAAAAAAAGGGAACACGACAACUGACAGUGAUGGUGACUACAAGGAACUUACCAGCUGUCUAUUGGAAAAUGUCAGGGCUGCAUGUUUAAUACAACUGCAUAGGAGAGGAUGAUGAGCUGAGGUUUCAUUGUAUGCCAGUGAGAUAUAUAGUUACCAGGUGAUGUUGAUACACAAACAAAAAAGCAUAGUCUCAC